AGGAGGAACAACCGCAGUGGCGGCGGCCAGCUCUAGAGCCCCGGAUUCAGCUCCCACAGUAGCUCCAGAGCUCUCGGUCUGCAGAGGCCUGGAUGCUCCGGGGGCGG
rnacentral:pre_miRNA from 1 species